ensembl:lncRNA
UGAAAUCAAAGAUAUUUACAGUAUUAGUGCCAAUUCAGUAUGAAAACAGAGAGAGAGAGAGAGCUGAGGGAGUGGAAAGAAAUGCAUGUUAUUGUGCAAGGGGUAGUGGCAUGGACUAUCAGUGGAGCAACAGAAAGCUCUGAGAUUUCAUUCUAAAGAUCUUCAUUUGUGUUCUGAAGAUGAACGAAAGACUUGCGGGUUUGGAACGAUAUGAGGACUACAUCCAAAAUAGUGUUUCCACAUCUGAGAUAAAGGCAGUCAUAAGACCCCAGCGGAACGAUGAGGAUAAGCUCUUCAAAGAAUGAAACAUAAUGAUGGAAGAAAUGUGCAUGAUUGCAUGAUUUGUAAAUAAACAUUAAGCACAUUUAGUGUAACUCUCAGCCUGUUAUUUUAAGUUUAAAGAAAAUAAAAUCAUUUAUUGUUGCACUGCUGUUUGAGACAUUCACUGUUGUUCAUUAUAUUGCAGUUGUGUGCAAAUAAAACUUAUUCUGAAU